GACGUAGGGCGCGAGCGUUUGUCCGGAUUUAUUGGGCGUAAAGAGCUCGUAGGCGGCUUGUUGCGUCGACCGUGAAAACCCGGGGCUCAACUUCGGGCUUGCGGUCGAUACGGGCGGGCUAGAGUUCGGUAGGGGAGACUGGAAUUCCUGGUGUAGCGGUGGAAUGCGCAGAUAUCAGGAGGAACACCGGUGGCGAAGGCGGCAUCCUGGACCAACACUGACGCUGAUGAGCGAAAGCCAGGGGAGCAAACGGG
rnacentral:rRNA from 1 species